rnacentral:rRNA from 1 species
UACGUAGGGGGCAAGCGUUGUCCGGAUUUAUUGGGCGAAAGAGCGUGUAGGCGGCCAUACAGGUCAGCUGUGAAAACUCGAGGCUCAACCUCGAGACGUCGGUUGAAACCGUAUGGCUAGAGUCCGGAAGAGGAGAGUGGAAUUCCCGGUGUAGCGGUGAAAUGCGCAGAUAUCGGGAAGAACACCCGUGGCGAAGGCGGUC